GGAUCGACAUUUAGCAAAAGUCGAGGAAAAACAACAAGGGAUCGACAUUUAGCAAAAGUCGACCAAAUUUAACAAGGGAUCGACUUUUUCUUCUCACAUAAAAGGGGUGCAGAAAAAAGAACCCAGACAAGGUGGAGUUGUGGAGGCACACCAAGACAGGAGGGUGCAACACGAAAUGCUCCUGAGGAAUCGUGGAAGUCCGCAGCUCGGACAGAGAUACGGCAGCAAAAUGAACUGAGCCAUAUAAAGAUAUUUGAACUCUUACUAUUACUGGACGCAGUAACAAAGUAGGACGCCAAAUUAACUCUAUCUACGGAAGAACGUGGGUAGGGAAAGUCUUAAUGGUAACAGAGUCAGGAUGCGUAUCCCAUCCAAGGGCAAGAGUAAACCUCACCUACGGAAACAUAGUGUUAGACGAGGGAUAUACUAAAAAGUGAACCCCACCUACGGAAGAACGUAGGUUAGACGGGGAACACAUCGGCAAAAGUAAACCUCACCUACGGAAACGUAGUGUUAGACAAGGGAUAUACUAAAAAGUGAACCCCACGUACGGAAGAACGUAGGUUAGACGGGGAACACAUCGGCAAGAGUAAACCUCACCUACGGAAACGUAGUGUUAGACGAGGGAUAUACUCAAAAGUGAACCCCAGCUACGGAAGAACGUAGGUUAGACGGGGAACACAUCGGCAAGAGUAAACCUCACCUACGGAAACGUAGUGUUAGACGAGGGAUAUACUCAAAAGUGAACCCCACCUACGGAAGAACGUAGGUUAGAUAGGGAACACAUCGGCAAAAAAUGAACCCCACCUACGGAAGAACGUAGGUUAGGCGGGGGACACAUCAGCUAAACACACACCCCAUUCUACAAAAAUGUAGACAGAGGGGCAGGUGUCCAAUAGUAAACCUCACCUACGGAAGAACGUAGGUU
rnacentral:lncRNA from 1 species